UUGUGAAGAUAGGGAAUAAAAAUUAAAUUUGCAGAGGAGGAAUUGUUCUAGACUACAUAAAAGAGUUGUUUCAAAGACCAGUGUUAUCAAGAAUGUACUUGGAAACAAAUCACCAAUGCAUUUCACCAAAAUACAUCCAACAACAACUAAAGGAAUUGAGGGUCUAUUCUGGGUUGUCGCACGAUGAGCUCUGUACCCUUGAGUCUACUAAUUUAAUAGAUGAGUUUGAGCAAUCUUUGAAAAGUAUGGAGGACUAUAAAUCAGCCAUUGAUCACAUAUUCCUGUGCUGUCCACAACUGGAACAUUACUUGAAAAAAUUUGUAGUACCAGCACCCGGGGACUGGCCAACUUGGUUUUAUCAAAAGAAACUCAUUGCUCAAGAAGUCAAUGCAGAUGCCAGUUUCCUAUCAGUCAUCCCAGAGCAGGGCCCAUUUCAUGUUUUCCUGAAUCUACAAGAAGAUGUUGUAACAAUUUAUGACUUCUUAUUUAAAAAAGUGUACAAAGAGACAUUUGGAUCUGACUUACCCAACAAGCCAAAGCCUUUUCGCGUCAGCCUGGUAAUAACCGCUGUUUUUCUGGCGUGGGGCAAAUAACGUGAUAAAGUUCUACUAAAAUUCAAGCUCUGCAAAGACAUAGAGUAUGCUUCCAUUCUGUUUCUUUUAGAUGAGGUAGUUCCCAUAUCAUUCUUCCACUAUCCUGUUACAUUCAGGUCUGGAGACAUGGAAUCAUAUAUAACAAUGAUGUUAAAGUUAUCUCUACUGUUUAUAAUCUGGAAAAGGCAUCAUUAUGACAGAUCAACACUCUCGAUGCUUAGUGACUUUUCUUUUCACAAACAACAUUUUUCACAGUACCAUGAACUUAAAAAGAAAUGGAUGGCUCUAAUAACUGAAAAGAAAGUUGAAAUCUGGCAUAGUGUGCUACGCAGCUUCAUUUCAAGUUAUGACAGUGCUAGUCAAAUUAGGGACAAAGCCCUGUCAUUUGCUGCAUCAAAGACAGAACAGCUCUUUCAUAACUAUUUAACAACACCAUACAGUAGAGGUUAUUCUGAAAAAGACCUAAGUUUGGUGACUGGUACAGCUGCUGAUGCAUUACUGAAAAUCAUCAAGCAAGUUGGUCAAAAUCUGGGAAAAGCAAAGCAGGUUCCACAAGAAACAAAUGCAAGAGGGCAGCCUAAAGGAGACAUGAAGUUUUUUCUUCCUACCUUUGACACCACCAUUACUUCAAAAGCAAUGCCCCUUGGCUACUCAUUUGUAAAAGAAGACCCUUCCACAAUACCUGAUCCUAAAUUAAUCUGUGACUACAAAAACUGCACGCAAUUAUCAACAACCAAUGUCAAUCGCCUUAACUGUUUUCACACAUUUCACAAUUUUUGCUGGAGACCAGUGUCCAAUCUGUUCCCCUCACCUCGCUGAAAAAAUUGCAGAAAUCUGUUCAGCAUUUAAUGAAAGCUUGUUGAAACCAACAGCAAAAUCUACUAGAACCCCACAAAGCAAUCAAGAACCUGGUAGUAAUGAUGAGAAUGACAGCAUUAAUGUCAAAAGAAAUUGUGACCCUGAAUACUAUGACUCUGCACAAUGGGAAUCCCACAUUGACAGGGAGUUAAAUUCAUUUGUUGUUGCACAACCACAACUGCGACACAAUGUUCCCAAUCACCAGGCUGCACCUUUACAGGCAAUUGACAUCCAAGUUACCACUCAUCCAGUUGGUUCAUCUACAUUUUGGUUCUUUCCUCCUUACAUAUCUCAGUCAACUCUACUUGGAAGAAAUGGAUCUAAUGCAUGUACUUUUAUCUCACUAAUUUUGGCCCAUUCAUAUAUCACUUCUGCAAACCGAACCAGUAUACAGCUCAGCCGUGGUCCUCCCAUAAACCCUCAUUGGCUUUCAAUGAUGUUAUCUGCAAUUGUUCGUGGCAACAGCAUAUAUGACACUGUGACAAAUGGUUGCGGGUCUCCAUUCUUUAGUGUUGUUGAGGCAAAACCACAUCUAGAUUCAGUCAUUGGGACUGUUUCUCUUGAAGACGCCCUCGAUCUGUCAAUUACAUCAGCUAAUCCACAGGUUCCUCAAAGUUCACUUGCAUUUUAUCUGCAAAGGCUUGAUCGCGAACAGAACUUAGCAGCAAUAGUCAUAGCUAAUGGAAUGACAAUAUCUCUCGUCGGACACGAUUCAAAGAUCUAUGUUCUAGAUAGCCAUCUACACUAUGCACACGGCCAUAACUUUGGAGCGAUGAUCGGAAUGAGUCCCAAGGCUGACUUGGAAGAAUUCCUCAGGAAUAUAAAGAAACUAAUCUCGCCCACAUUUGAUGUUUGCUCCCUGACAUUUGUCUCGUUUUCACGGCAGUAGUAGAACUUUUGAGUUUCGCGUGCCAGCAAAUCCCACAAACGCCGUCAAACUUGAGGAUUUUACCCUUGAUCCAGCAAAAAAUCUUCCUGGAACCUUAACACGAGUACAUUUUCUUGGUGUAUGUGUAUUUUUUUGCUCCCGUUAAGUCCAUUUUGAGCCAAACGUUUGUGUUUAUUGUAACAGCUUUGGGAAACUCGUGUUUCGUUCGCCAUUUUGAAUGAUUCUUGUCUCGCGCAUGCGCAGUCGUUCUGCCGCGGUGUAGGUUUGUAGCGUUGCAGAAUGGUCCUCGUUGCAGAAGUGUCUAACCAAUCAGAUUGUCUCUUGUAUCUCCCAUGCCGUCCAUCCAAUCAAAGUGCCUUGUGAUCGUGUCUUGUACCUGGUGGAGAUUGUACCAAGGGGAGAUCGUUCAUAGGGUCGUGUUGGAAUUGUUAACUUGGUGAAUCACUUUUUCAGCAUUUACCUUUAUUCAAGGCUGGAAUGGCAGAAUAACCAGGAGAACUACAAGGUCUUUAUGGUGGCAGCAACCAAUUAUGAGCCAUAGCAAGAUUCAAACAAUGACAACAUGCAAGUGAGCACCAUCGCCUGAUCCAAGUGCCAACUGUGCCAGAAUGUGAACUUUUAUUGGAUCUGUAUCGUACAGUGAAAAAACGUUGUUUGAGAAGCUAAUCAUCCACCUUUCAACUGUGGUGGCGAGUAUUGAGAUUGCAGAUGUAACACAUCAUUUGAUUGUGACCUUGACACAGCUUGAUAUCGAAUCAGUACAAAUAGGGUGCAAGUGCAUAUAGUACAAAUGAAAUCCCCCAGCUUUCUGGUCUGUCUGAAGUUGAUCGGCCAAACUGUGACUCGCUUAAGCUGGCAACAAUGAAUCAGGUGGUUCCUGAUGAUACCCCCUGGUGAACCAGGCUAAUAUCCCUACCAUUUUCUGUUAUUAAAAAUGUAGAAAAUGGAUAGGGAGGGGACCAGUAACCUUGCGUUGUCUCUUUUUAUGUUUUAUUUUAAGACUUCACAACCAUACGUAGUAAACUGUAUGUCCGAUCGGGUCUUAUGGAGGUAAAUGACGGAGGAUCGUAUGACAGCAGUGCCGGAGAUAUGCUUUAAAUAUGAAUAGAGUUUAGUGGCAAAGUUUAACUAGCGCAGAUUUGUGUAGUAAAUAAAUACAGUUAUACUUUGAGUUGAAAUGUCAUUUGUUCUGUUCCUUGUUUAGUUCUUUAUAAAUUCAGUUUAUAACCUUUA